rnacentral:rRNA from 1 species
GUUAGCCUACGGGACGCAGCAGUGGGGAAUAUUGCACAAUGGGGGAAACCCUGAUGCAGCGACGCCGCGUGAGUGAAGAAGUAUCUCGGUAUGUAAAGCUCUAUCAGCAGGAAAGAUAAUGACGGUACCUGACUAAGAAGCCCCGGCUAACUACGUGCCAGCAGCCGCGGUAAUACGUAGGGGGCAAGCGUUAUCCGGAUUUACUGGGUGUAAAGGGAGCGUAGACGGCUGUGCAAGUCUGGAGUGAAAGGCAUGGGCUCAACCUGUGGACUGCUUUGGAAACUGUGCGGCUUGAGUGUCGGAGG